rnacentral:rRNA from 1 species
CAGCCGCCGCGGUAAUACGGAGGGUGCAAGCGUUAAUCGGAAUUACUGGGCGUAAAGCGCACGCAGGCGGUUUGUUAAGUCAGAUGUGAAAUCCCCGAGCUUAACUUGGGAACUGCAUUUGAAACUGGCAAGCUAGAGUCUUGUAGAGGGGGGUAGAAUUCCAGGUGUAGCGGUGAAAUGCGUAGAGAUCUGGAGGAAUACCGGUGGCGAAGGCGGCCCCCUGGACAAGGACUGACGCUCAGGUGCGAAAGCGUGGGGAGCAAACAGGAUUAGAUACCCGAGUAGUCCCUGUCUCUUAUAC